AUGAACGCUGGCGGCGUGCCUAAUACAUGCCAGUCGAGCGAACAGACGAGGAGCUUGCUCCUCUGACGUUAGCGGCGGACGGGUGAGUAACACGUGGAUAACCUACCUAUAAGACUGGGAUAACUUCGGGAAACCGGAGCUAAUACCGGAUAAUAUAUUGAACCGCAUGGUUCAAUAGUGAAAGACGGUUUUGCUGUCACUUAUAGAUGGAUCCGCGCCGCAUUAGCUAGUUGGUAAGGUAACGGCUUACCAAGGCAACGAUGCGUAGCCGACCUGAGAGGGUGAUCGGCCACACUGGAACUGAGACACGGUCCAGACUCCUACGGGAGGCAGCAGUAGGGAAUCUUCCGCAAUGGGCGAAAGCUUGACGGAGCAACGCCGCGUGAGUGAUGAAGGUCUUCGGAUCGUAAAACUCUGUUAUUAGGGAAGAACAAAUGUGUAAGUAACUAUGCACGUCUUGACGGUACCUAAUCAGAAAGCCACGGCUAACUACGU
rnacentral:rRNA from 1 species